UCUACCACCACCACCACCCAACACCACCUCGCUGACCCCACCCUAACUAACAUCGAAUUUCUCUCUCUCUCUCUCUCCCUCUAACUCUUUUAUCUUUAUCUCUCUGUAACUCUCUCUCUUUUUCCUAUGUUUUUGUAGCACUGCCAGCCACCACCACCACCUCUUUGUCUCUCUCUUAUCUCUACUCUCAACAACUCUCUCUCCGUUGUGUUUGUAUCACAGGGGCUCACCCCCACCUCCACCACUCAAGCGACCACCACCACCGCCAAUGGUGCAGGAAAAUGAACUUGGAAUGUGGGAUAGAUUCGUGGCAACUUGGCAUGUGUAUUGGGGAUGGAUGGAUUGAAUGGACUACGGGAAGAUCAAGGAUGACGUUGUUUAAAGUCUUUUAAUUUAUGUUUUAUGUAUUUCCACACUUAGUAUGUAAACGAUUGAUUAAAGUUUAUGUUUUUAUGUUUUAUGUACUAAACAAUGGGUACCCAUACCUUAUUUUGUAUUUCAUACCGUAUUUUGGAGUUUUAAUAAAUUUCUAAUAUUUUAUGUA